AUUGAACGCUGGCGGCAGGCUUAACACAUGCAAGUCGAGCGGAGAUGAGGUGCUUGCACCUUAUCUUAGCGGCGGACGGGUGAGUAAUGCUUAGGAAUCUGCCAUUUAGUGGGGGACAACAUUCCGAAAGGAAUGCUAAUACCGCAUACGUCCUACGGGAGCAAGCAGGGGAUCUUCGGACCUUGAGCUAAAUGAUGAGCCUAAGUCGGAUUAGCUAGUUGGUGGGGUAAAGGCCUACCAAGGCGACGAUCUGUAGCGGGUCUGAGAGGAUGAUCCGCCACACUGGGACUGAGACACGGCCCAGACUCCUACGGGAGGCAGCAGUGGGGAAUAUUGGACAACGGGCGGAAGCCUGAUCCAGCCAUGCCGCGUGUGUGAAGAAGGCCUUUUGGUUGUAAAGCACUUUAAGCGAGGAGGAGGCUACUAGUACUAAUACUACUGGAUAGUGGACGUUACUCGCAGAAUAAGCACCGGCUAACUCUGUGCCAGCCGCCGCAGUAACAC
rnacentral:rRNA from 1 species